rnacentral:tRNA from 1 species
AUCUAAUAUGGCAGAUUAGUGCAAUGAAUUUAAGCUUCAUAAAUAAAGAAUCAAUUCUUUUAUUAGAA